rnacentral:snRNA from 1 species
GUGCUCACUUUGGUAGCACAUAUACUAAAAUUGGAACAAUACAGAGAAGAUUAUCAUGGCCUCUGCACAAAGAUGACAAGUAAAUUUGUGAAGCACUCCAUGUUUUU